rnacentral:sRNA from 1 species
UGUAUGUGUAUGCCUGUGUGUGUGUAUGUGCAUGUGUGCACGUGCAUGCAUGUGCAUGUGUGUUAUUUGUGUAUGAGGGAGUAUAUGUAGAUUCAGGUGAACAAUUUUGAGUGUCAUUCCUUACUGAAUGGCCCACUGUGUUUUUUUUGUUUCUGUUUUAUUUUGUUUCCCUGUUUGUUUUUGAGACAGGAUCUCUCACUGGACUAGAAUCAAGUUGGCUAGGCUUGCUGGCCGGUGAGCCCGCAAGGGUCCACUUGUUUCUGCCUGCUAAGCAUUGUGAUAGCAAGCAUCUAUUACCUCAGUCAGCCUUGAACAGUCUUUUAACUCCAUAAAACAAGUGUUCUCUCCGUGUGUAAGUUAACUACCUGAUGCAGGAGGGAAAGCGAAAUGGCCUCAUGUGUCAAGGAUGCUGCUGCAUUCAGCAUCCUCGUGGCCUCCACUAUGAUAGUGGUCAUAGUCACUAUCAGGGUAAUUCCGAACCCUUUCUUACCUGCCCUGGAGCUUCCUGGGUAAAGCCCUGUGUGAAUCUUCUGCAGUUGGUUUACUGGGAGGCUUCUGCCCCUCACUGUCGAUAGACAAGAGUAAACAAAACUGAAGAGAGCUGUGGCCAUCCUUGAACGUUGUGAUGAUCAGGCCAUGGGGUGUUCCCAACAUGUGCCUGCUAUAGAAACCUGUGCUUGCUUAGGGGUGAUUGCUGGAGGCAGCAGCCAAUAUGCAACCCAGGGAAGCUUGAGGAAGUCAGGCCUCUGAGGAAUGCCACUAGAGGGUCACUGCCCUGGCCCAGGCUCUUUCUCGGGACAGCAAUAGCCUGAGAUCAUCUGGGAGUUGUAAAGACAGGCUGCCAUGUGUGGGUAUUCAAGUCUGUGUGAUGGUAGUUCAGUCAACUUUCCCAGGCAAUGCCCCAGUGUGUUUCUGUCUUCUCUACGUGGAGGGGACCUUGGAGUGCAUUAGAUAAGGACAUGGUAACACAGGAAGAGGGGGUGAGCCUCAGCCUAUGGCAGCAGAGCUGAUGCUGACACACUGUCUAAGCUUGAGUGCCUGGUCUUCUCCCAUAUGGUCUGCUGAGGGCCUGGUGCAAUGACUCCUGAGGGCGCUCGGUGCUCUGUGGGUCUUAGCCAGGACCAAUGAUGCCACUUGUCACUUUUCUACCCUCUACAAAGCCAUAAGCUCGUGUGUAUGCUGGGAGAAACAGCUGCUGUGUUAAAUCAUGUUUUCUGACUUCUGGAGAGGGCCGGUGAAUGGAGAGAAAGCACCCUUCACAGCAGAAGAUAUAAGCCCCUCUUCUCUCUGCUCUGCAAGUCCUACACUGUCUUUGUGGCACAAGGAAAUGAACACCUCCUCCUGGGAGUCCACUCUGAUCCUCAGGUAAUACACAAAUGUGUCCCCAUUCCCCGAAAAGGACCAGCUCUCACUGCAAGGAAAUGGAUAUCUGCGAACAUUACUCUGUCUGUCAAACAUUUACCUUUGCCCAUAAGGACAAAGGGAUGAACCAUUUUGUUGUCUCUCUGGGCUGAGCACAGCGCCUGGGACAAAUCUCAGUAAACACCUAAACAAUGUCAGGUUUUGUGUUUCUUCCCCUGCUAAGUCAGCUGUGCUUCUAAGAAAGUCCUAAGCAUGAUCCUAGACUUACCUGAGCCUCAUUCCCAGACUGUCUUGUUGCAUAAAGGAGAUGGAAUGUUCCAGAAGCCAAACCACUCAUGAGUGCAAAUUAAAGUCCAGGAAAGGUUAGUAACUCAUCCUCACCCAGCAGCAAACCAGGCCUCAGCCUGGCUUUGUUGGUGUUAAGCUGUCUCUUCAAUCCAUUUCCGCAUACAGUUCCAACAGAUUCAGAUAUUACUGGCUCUGUCGUCACAACUCUUGUCUUGGGGGGUGGGGGGCGUCUUGGCAGAGCUACCCUGGGCCUAGAACCUCAGACCAGCACAUUUUAUUUAUUUUAUUUUUACAGAGAGGAGACUGUUUGUGUAAACUGUCUGAACCACUCAGAAUCACGUGAGUACCAUCUCACUGGCUCAGUGCCCUGCAGUCCUGUCAUAAGAACAUUUUUGUGGCUGGUGGGGACACUCCCUCCACUGGACUGUCUCGCUAACACUGCCCACCCCACUCUGAGGUACCAGGUAAUGCUAGAAGAUUGGAGCUCACUGCCCAUACUGGUCCACCCCUAGAAUCCUCGGAGUAGGGCUAGGGUGGGCAAUCUCUGAACAAGAGGAACAAAUAAAAAUGGGACUGCACAGAGAUUCAAGUAUGACAUUAGGUAUGGACCACCAAGUUGGCCAGGCCUGGACAGAAGGAAGUAUCCUCACGGAGCUGAGCUGUGGGUCCCUCUUUUGUCUAGACCUGGAGGCAGUGUUUUGCAGAGCCCUGGCAGCCUGCCUCUGCACUGGCACCACAGGGGACACUCAUACAGGGCUUCUCCAGGUCCUACUUUGAGAAAUGCGUCUCCUUUGGCCACUCUGGGUGGGAAGACCUUCCUGAGAUGGGGUUCACAUGGGACUGUCCAGUUCAGUGGCUGUCACUGCUCUAGGUCUACAAACAGGAGGAGGGUGGCAGGAGACAAUGACAGUGUGGCCGCCCAUGAGUCUUUGAUCUGACAGCUCCUGGAGCCCCCUCAGCAGCCUUUUGCUUACUAGGCCACUAUCAGCUCCCUGAUGUGGAGGGACCCUGGUAAUGAGGUUCUAUUAACGGAGCUGGAUCCCGGUUCUCAGAACUCAAUGUUCAGAGUAAACAAUGAGGCAGAAUCCUAUUUAAAAAAAAAAAAAGACUUCCAACAUGGACAAAUUAAGCCCGUGGGAAUGUCGUACAAAGAAUACAUUUUUCCAGUGUCGAAUCAAGAUCAAUAGAGAAAAACAAAUAAUUUCAAGUGAGAGUUGUCAUAAUGACACUCAGGUUCGGGCAGGGGUUGCACACAGUAUUUUGGCCUGAGGACAUCCCAGCAUAUAUAAUGAGGAUGCAGGGGUGGGGCUGGUCCUGGGCAGCAGGGGUGCGUCGACUCCCAGGUGGCUCAGCCUGGCUGACACUCGGUCUCAUUUGUCUCUGUCAAGGCUCCUCUCUCACUGUGGAGCUGUUAGCCUGUUCAUGUGCUACCGAGCUUGCUGAGGUUGACCCAGGUCUGGAGCAGCUAAAGAAGCCAGAGCUUUGUUCAGAGGGGAUAGAUCUGCACACCCCCUGCAGAAUGCUGUCUGUAACUCUCCCCCAAGGUGGGGGAGAUCCCUAGUCAUCUGCUCAGACGUCUCCUUCUCUUCAAUUCCCCCCAUUUGCCACUCACUUUGGACUGUCAUGCCCACAGGACCCAGUGUGCUCUCUGCUAUCAGUAAAAGUCUUACCUGUUGCCCCAUGCUGGUCUGGAGGGAGUUGUUCUUUUAGAAACCUCUGCUUAAUUCUUUCCUUCUCUUCCUGAUCCCUGGUGACCUGAAAAUCACCCUUGUCUGUUUUCCCAGAGUGCCAGGCAGGGUUCUCAGCUGGCAUAUACCCUCUCCUGCUCUCCGAGGGGAUGUCUCAGUGAAUUGGGUCAUCCUGUUGAGUCACUGGACAGAGAGCUUCCCAAUCCUGCCUGGGGUUCCUUGAUUCAUCUGAGCCCCCACUGUGGUCUCCAAGCCAUAUCCCCGGGAGCAGGUCAUUUCCAUGGGAGUCUGGGAGACUAGGAUGGACAAGACUCAGGUCUCAGGAGGCAGGGGCUCUAAUACCUAUCUGCUCUCCACAAGGAGACUAGGAGACGAAGGAGAGUUGACUCUGGUACACAGUCGCCAUGAUUCCUGAUUUCAACCUGCUGAGCUAAUGUGCAUUGGUGAUGUCUCUGAGGUUUCCCUCCAUGCAGAAUUUGUGCUACACGCACUAGAGGAGUGUGUGUGUGUGUGUGUGUGUGUCCGUGUGUGUGCAUGUGCAUUUUAGGCUGAGCCAAAGCACACACUAGGUGCAACAUCUUUCCCUACUUUCCAGCUGACAAACAAGUGACUGGGCAGGGCCGGAGGUCAGGUGGACUCAGGGCUUCUGCCUCCCAGGAAGAUCUCGGCCCUAUUGGGGGUGGAGAGAUAUAGAGUGGGUCAUGGUAAGGCAAACCUAGAGAGGAACUGGAGGUCUCAUGGAGGGUCUUGGCCCAGCCAUGUGGGAAAGCGGAAGGAUGAGAGUUCCCAAGCUGCCUACAACUUUGGUUGGCUUGAGGCAUAGACCGCUAGGAUGGCUUAAAAUGCUUUGCCUCCUCUAAAAAUUCACAGCUAAGUUGAAUUCCCACUGUAAAGUGUUAUGGGGUUGGGGACGAGGUUCCAAUACAUGGGUAGAGUGAAGCCUUGGGGGACAAUGGGAGUCUGACAAGAUCAGAAAGGUGGGGCCCCUGAUUGAAUGCUGAUGGUCUCGAAAGAGCAAAGAGAGACUAGAAGACACAUUUUCAGUCUCUUUUCUCUCUUCUCGUGCGCCUUACCAUGUGACAUCCUACACUUCUUUGGGAGUUUGCCAGAGAGAAGGCCAACAUCAGACUUGAGCUUUGACCUUGGACAAGAACUCUGUAAGCCCAAAGAAAGAUCUCUUAUUUCUAACUUUACCUAUCUCUCUGGUCUUGUUUCAGACUUUCAUCAUCUCUGGCCUUGUGUCACUAUCAUUUGAAGGUGGUUCAGGUAAGGGCUGCCUCCCUGAACCUCCCCCGUCUUCUCUGGAGAUUACUACAAAGAAUUAGCUUGCUCAGUAAAAGCUCUAAGAAGCCCAUAGCAGCUUUUGCUUCUCCCAGUGUGCCAGGUACACUGCACAGUGGAUGUCCUUUCUUGUCCCUUCAUAGCUCUUGUUGACAACCCUAUACCACUUUUAUAGUUACCCGUGAGCAAUGUGGCCCACUGGACAGAGGUGUCCCCAGCCCCAGAGCUUUGGAACAUGGUGAAACCUGGUGAGGAGGAGUCUGGGAUCUAAAUCCCCUGCAGAUACACAAACCUAUACUGGUUGUUAUUAUGCAUACACAUAGGAUGGGAGCUUUGGUGGAGAGCUAUCUCAGCCAUUUAAAUGGCAGCGGACUUCAUUUCUCUGAGUUUGGCUUACACAGAGGAUCAAGUAGAGCCGGGCAAAGUUGCUUAUCCCAGUCUUGUCAGUGAGACUCAGAAAUACAAAGUGGAGUUGGCGAUGCAGCCCAUUUGUUGGAGUGCUUGCCUAGCUUGCGAAAGGCCCCAGCACCACACAAACAUGGUGGUGCAUGCUGUGCUACUUAAAACCUCUGUGUCAAAAUCAAUCCACCAACCAAAUAAGCCAACCGAAAUGGAGACAAUCAUCAUGGCUAUAAGGAGGAGGCCAGUGGAAGGACCACACAGUGGAAGGCCCAUGGCCUCUCUAGACCUCAGUAGUCACAAAGAAUGGGAAGGGUGCAUGCACACUGAGGGAGGGCUCCCCAAGUAUGUGCUGGGCCGGCAAAGUAAGGUACAGAGCAUGGGACUUAAGGCCCAGCACAUGUUAGGCAAGAGCUCUACCUCUGAGAUACACCCUAGCUAGGCCUUUUAAAAAUUACUAUUUUGAGACAGGGUCCUAACGAGUAGCCCAGGUUGGCCUUAAACUCACUCUGUUGGUCAUGCAGGUCUUGAACUUGUGAUACUCCUGUCUCAGCCUCUCUAGGGAUUACAGACAGGCACCACCAAAGUGAUUAUGACAGUUAAACGAAGGGGCAGGAGAAGCCUGUUUGAUUAUAUGUAUCAUAUGCAAACAUGUACACACAUACUAGACAUACAUGGGAUAUCAUGGAAUCAGUGGGAAGAGAGGAAGUUGUAUGUACAGAAUCUCUGAAUUCCAUGCCUAUCCCUCACUGAUUUGUAACUCAGGGGAAACAAUCUGACCCAUGUAUUCUUCAGUCUGUUCAUCCAGAAAAUAUGGUAAUUAUAUUUCAAUCUCUAGAAAUUAUGGAGGGAAGUCAGCAAUGAAUUAAGUCACAUAAGCAAGGCUUCCGGGUGGUUGACUGGCUCCUGGCUGGGGCAGAAUAAGUGAACUGUUACUUUACCUUUUACUUUUUAUUUUUUUUUAACCAUGGUGCAUCACUUCUGGUCCACACAUCUCCACACCUCAGUCCAGUGAUGGGAGCGUGGCUUUCCAUCCAGCCCUUUGUGAUGGGUGUAGUGGUUUAAUGAGAAAUGCUUUUUCUGUCCUGGUAGCAUGAACCCUAGUGGCCUGACUUAAAAGGGAAGACCCUGAGGUACAAUCAACUGGAUUGUUAUCUAUGGUGGUACUUCCUGGGGCUCCCUGCUCUGGACUGAAGCCUGACAAGCAGUUAUAGGAUCCCCACAGCCAGUUGGCCCCCUUGGCUUCCCCAGGGAGAGGGUGCUUGGGAAGGGUCAAUGGGCCUGCAGCCCAUCGGGAGGUCUGUCGUUUUAUAAGCAGCAAGUACCCAUGUUUACUCAUGCUUUUGCUUAGUGUUGUUGGGCUGCAGGCGGCAGACACUAACACUGGUUAACUUCAGCAAAAAGGAAUUUAUUGGCAGGAUGUCGAGAGCUUGGAGAAGUGACAGGAACCUAGAGAAGCAGACUCUGGGAGGGCAGGAGCCUGGGCCUUUCUGAUCACCCACCUCAGAAUCUGUGGCCACCGCAAACAGAAAGAAACAUCUGGUCUGCAUGCUGCCGAGGUUGAGAUGGUGACCUCCAGCUGAGCCUCUGGGUUCAGUGGCUCUUUUUCUUCAUUCUUCUUGCUUGUCUGUCAACUGAGGAUCCCUCUUUUCCAGGCUUGUUGAAUUCUCUGCCUUAAAGUCUUGCAGGCAAGUGUUGAAGUCGUGUUCUUUCCACUGUGGACAGAACCGAAGAUCCCAGCAUCCUUUGUGGGACUCUGUAACACAAGGUUUGUACAUCCUUUGAGGAAGGGUGCAGACAUAUACAUAUACUUGGGUCAGUUACAUGUCACCUGGGGAAAUGAGUAGCAGCCAGUGUCAUAUAACACUGUAAGUACUUCUGUGUAGAUAGCAGGGCACUAGGGCAGCUGCUGCAGCAGCGACCGGUUGGAAGAAGAUCCAUGUCGUCCCCAGUGUGGGAAGCAAGGUGACAUCCUGCAUGGCCACACAGAUUGGUGUCCUGACGACUACUGGGCUACGAUCCCAGCUGUGGCCUGGCUGCCUUGCUGCUUCCCAUCUGCUGAUCUCCCCACCAGAUCUGUGAUCUUUCUCACCUGCUGUGAAAUAAAUCCCCACCUGCUUCAAACUGACCAAGCCCGAACCUAGAAGCUUGGCUGACACUCUGAAUGACUCUCAGCAGAUUUGUGUUCCCAGAAGAGAGGUUGAGGCACGUUCCUGCUCCCCACGGGAUCCAGGAGACUGGAGUUGGCCCUUUGGCUUUCGUUAUGGGAGGUAGAAGACUAGAAUUCCCCUCCACCAAGACCACACACAGUGGGGAAGAGGCAAAUUCCAGAAGGAACACAGGCUACUGUUAAAUGAGGAGUGUGGGAGCGCAGUUAGCAAAACAGGACACAUGUGCACUAACCAAUCUCUCUUCAUUCAUCCAAGUAAAUAGAGUGUGCACUCUAUGCUGAGGAAAGGGGUCUCUCCCUUCUUUCAUGUACACCACACUCACACUGCAAGCCGGAUGCAUGCAGAUACUGCAAAACCUUUGGGAUACAGCACUGGCUGCCCUCCAGACACCCAGCUAAGUAAAGGGACCAAGGACUGUUCCAGAGAAAAGCUGUGGUGACUUCCAACGGUGCUCUAGAAUCUCCUGGACUUCCCCAGAAGAAUCUGCCUUACAUGUAAACGUUCUGCUUCAGAUGUUUGCCAUGCAAGAGAUCCUGCCAUUAAAGUCCAUGCCAAAAACAAACAAACAAACAAACACACACACACCACAAAAACCAAACCUCAAUGAGUGCGCUUUCUGAGUUCCCAUGGGGCUCUUACUACCCUGGGUGACUAAAUGGCCUGGUUUGCCACACACGAGUUCUAUUUUAUCAGUUCCAUGUUAAGAUGACCACACCCAGAUAAGCUAGAAGGUCGGUACCCUCAAUUUUUAACAUUUUGCUCUUAAGACAGGCUACCGUCUGGAGAGGUCAUGGGGGUGGGCUGAACAUUGGGCAGGGCUGGUGGUCUCUGUUGUGGUCGGCUUGGGCCUCCUGAAGGAGAUAGGCCAGAGACCCACUAAGGCAACUGAGAAAGGGUCAUGAGGAGUCAGAGUCUGUGGAGCAUAAGAGAUUAGUUCAUGUUGUCUGGAUUGCUGGGACUGCCUCCCUGGGACUAGAACCACUGGUCUGUGUCAGGGUCAUUCUGGAUUAUAGUCUGGAGAAUCCUAACACUGUCUGCCUAACCCCACAGCAGCUCAUCCUUACUGACAGGCACAAGGCCAGAGGUGUUCAAGGAUAAGACAGGGGCUCCACAGAGCUUGUGGGGUCCAGGCUUCUUCACCCUGUGCCCCUUCAUCCCUCCUCUCAUGUGGAACUCUGGCUCUAGGUGCAGCUUCCCUCCUGGAGGUCAAGAAUGACACAAGAAAGGAGCAGCGUCAAGGAGGAGGAGGUGUAAGGCAACGUGUACAGCCAUUCUCAUAGACGCUAGCUGCUUCCACUGGUCAGGGAUGCUACAGUGCUUUCUCUUGAAAAGAGGCUGGGAAAUGGUGUGUUUCAGCUGGCUGGAACCAAAUCGAGAGAGAGAGAGAGAGAGAGAGAGAGAGAGAGAGAGAGAGAGGUGAAGAAGGGCUCUUGUUUGGAUAAUUAGAGGAGUCCUCAGGAGGUUCUUAGAGGCUUCUAAAUACACUGGCCAUCCAAUCUCCCUAUCACUCAAGCUUAUGUCUCAUAGUCCCCUGGGUCCCAAGCGCCAUAGACGCCAGACUUGGCAUGAUCCACACUGCUGGGGUGCCACCAAUAGGAUGCCGGAAACCCCAUUUUUCUUUUCUCUUCCCAACAAAGCCAGAUGGCAGGCAGUGUGACUCCAUCUCCGCCAAAGUCCAGGGGAUGUUGUCCCCUCCCUGCCUGGAAGGCUGUACCCCUCCUCCUGAUGCACUUCCUGUGGCCCACAGCCCAGCCUCUCUGCAAGUGAGAUCCUCCCUUCCCCCUCCUGCGCGAGCCUAGAGCGAGUCAGCCCAUCUGGUUCUAUUUCACUUCGUGUUACUCAUCAGGAUGUGUUUGCCAGGAGUUAUUUGAUGUUCAGGAAGAAUUCUGAAGCUUUUGAAAAGAGGUAAAUAAAAUCCUUUAUCCCCCAAAGAGUCAUGAAAUUGUGUUUUGCUCAGGAGGUGGCAGGCAGCCAUGUGAGGUCUGGAGGCCCCUGCCUAGCCAGGCACAGGGGCUGGAGUUUCACGAUCUGUUCUUCUGUCAGUCAGUCCGAAUCUCCACUCCUCCAAGUCCUUCCUGAUGCUCUCUUGGGAUGCCCGAAUUUGGGAACAGAUGAGGGCUGCCUGUGGGGACAGCCCAGCCUGUCUCCUGCUCUUCAGCCAAGAAAGCUUUUAGGGAGCACUCCUUCUGGUCCUCAGCCCUGUCAUUCCACAGCCAUGCAUACGAGCUCCAGGGGGAGGAACCAGAGUUCUCUGCCACAGAACAACCUGGGUUGGGGGAGCUCACCCCAUCUGCUAGGGUCUGGAGAUCACAAAGCAAGGAAGCUGACACCUCCUCCAAGCUCCUGUGAAUUGCAACAGACAUCAUGGAUGUUAAGAUACCCAGAAGGAGAGGCUUUGCCUGCAGGACUGUCUUACAGAGAAGGUUCCACCCUUCUAGCAUCAACCUCUACCUCGAGUCCACACAGCCUUCCUAUUAUUGCCCAGAGAUGGUUCAGUGCAAUGUCAAAGUUUUCCUGGCAAGAACUAGAUCCUCAGGUCUCGUUAAUGCAAAGUGGACCCCACUCUACCUUGUGGGUGCCCAUAACCAACCUGUUGAGAAGAGACCAACAUUUGUGUGACUGGUUGCUCCUUGGGCAGAGUCUGAGUGUUUACUCCCCCAACCCCCCCAAACAUCCCUAUUCUAUGCAAUGCCUCCCACAUAAGCAUCCAGGCAGAGGAGUGUGGGCUUACCUCUGUACCCCUUGAUCUGUCCAUUCUAUUACAGGGAUGCCAGAGGGCUCCUCCACAGCCUAGAGUGGUGUCAUCUCAAAUCCUGCAGUAUGCAAGGCUUCCCACCCACUGCAUCCCCCGUGACAGCUUACAACCCUGACUAUCAAACAUUGAUCACUUAAAUUUAACAUCCCGUCUUCCCUUUGAUAUCUUCAACUGCUCUCUGCAUAAGACAACAAGCCGCUUUCUGCAGCUCCGUAUGAGGGAGAGUUCAAAGACUUCCUUCCCCAGUCCCUCAGCACUGCACUCUGGGAUUCUGCCAGAGAGACUGUCAGGAGGAAGGUUUAAGGCAUCCUCUACUGAUAGCGUCUUUAGGACUCAGACCUGUGGGGAAACCUCCAUGCUUUAAGUCCUGGAUUCUGGGGUGAUCUGCGCAUAACUGGGCAGUCAAUGGCAUGUUAAUGUUUUUCUAGAAGCAUCUGUGGGUCAUCAUGGGGAAAGAUGUAAAUUCAGAGGCAGAGGCAUCAGGCUUAUAUCCUUGAGGAGCCGGGCCUGCAUCCCUGAUCUGCCCUUGACCAACUCUGGGUCCUCAGGAAAGUUCUGGAUCUUUUAAAUGGAUACGAUCAUUCUUAGCUCUCAGCAAAGUGCUUGAAUGGGCAGUGUGGCUACCCGGCUCACCAUUCCUGGACAGGAAGCGUCAGUGGCCGAGUAUGACAGGAAGCGCUGAACUCCUGAGAGCUGGGUACUUGAUAGUCACAGCUGGCAGCCUGAUCACCAGUCAUUCUGAUCCUCCCCCUCACACAAUCCGCAGUGGGCUUGUACUUUAUUACACCUGUGUUAAUUAGCGUAGCUACCAUCUAUGAAACACACCCCAUGGGUCAAGGCCAGAGCAAAGUGAUUGACCGAUGUCACUUCACAUCAGCCCUGCGAGUACCUCAAAGGUAGCCUUUCUCCUGGGACCUGUUUCUGCCUGAGUGUCUUCCUGGGUAACAGAAUCUACCUCAUGUUAAUGGCCACAUGGGGCUCGAAGCCAGGUCAGUGGGGCCGAAGUUCCGGCUUUUGCCUCAGUCUUCAAGCUGUAGUGACAUACUCUAAAAGGCACGUGGUGCUGUGUCUCAGUGCCUUGGGGUCUGCAGUGGAGGAUGUCCUGGUACGGAGAGAUGAACGUGGGACAGAGUGAAAAAGACCUUCUGUUCAGUUUCACACACUGUGUUUUGAGUAGCCACCUACAUAGUAUAACACCAGUUACAACGUCAUGGUCCCAGGUUCCUCAUGGCCCCAGACUUAAAGAAUAGAUCAUGAUGUUCCUGAUCUCUAGAGCCCUGUGGCCUAAGCCUCUGACUUGCUGGGGUUGCUAAGAAAUGGACUCCCCUUGUGGGGAGUCCCCCCCCCCAGGCAAUGCCACUUGUGACUGAAUGAUCUCUGAGUUUGGGGAGAGCGCUAGAAUCUCCACUCUAUUCUUGGCACAUCCUAAGUGUGCACCCCAGAAACUUGGCUCACAGUCUCCACUGCCACCCACUGGGGUCACACAGACUGCAUCUGCCCCUUUGUCAGAGGUUUUGGAAGAGUGUUUUUGCUUGGGGUUCCUUUCUUCAGGUCACAAAGGUCAAAGCUUCCUGUGACGUAAUGACGUAAAUCUCUGCAGCCUGUGACUUUGCAGGAAAGAGUGGGAAAUGGAGACUGGGAAGAAAGGAAGGUGAUGUCAUGUACCUGUGGGGGAGCUGCUGGGGUUAAACAAAGGCAUAGUCCCUGGCUGCUGGAGUGGGGCUGUCGGGGGAUGGAUGAAUGGCAAGGGAGAUAAUGAUCUCAGUCCUCUUCCAGACUCCCUUCCUCCUGGUUAGAACUCCUUCCCAUCCCCCUAUGGAGAACUCAUCAUGGCAAAGCCCUUGAAGGGUGGGCCCCACCUUGACCAGAAGCUCUCCCUGUGCUAUGGGGAGUUGUUUAUUCCCUAAAUUUUAGAGUUGAGCUCUCAGUAUGUAGCACAUUGAUGUCUAAACUGUUGCGUGCCCUUACUGAGGGAGACAGACACUUUUCUUUGAGAAGAGCUCUCAAUGUUCCAGCCUUGCUGGCUAGGUGAGGCAAAGUCAGAGGAGCAACCCUCUAGCGACACUGCUCUUUGUGGGAUAUCUGAAAUCCCGCAUAUAAAAACACCCCAACCCCAUCUGUCAUUUUUGUAGGUUUUCUUUGCUUUCUGUACAAUAAGAAAGGGCAACAGAUGAGGUAGACGGUGGACUGGGUUUGGGGUCUGAAUCGGGACUUACAUCAUCUUCUCUGUGAUUUGGGGCAAUUUAAUUACCAUCUCCAAAAGUCAAUCCUUUGCUUGGGAAACAAGGUCAAUGACGCAUGACUCACGGAGUGUCUGGAAAGACCAAAUGCAAAGGCAUUGGCAAACUGACAAACACUGGUAUACAGAGGGUGCUCAAUAAGUAUUAACAGAUGAGAUAACAGCUUCCUGAUGUGGAGGAGACAAGGUGUCUUGAUACCCCCUUAUGAAUAAUCGCAAUCAGCGCUUGGGGCUGGGAGCUGGGGGUAUGGAUUGGGUUUUCUUGAGGGGCAGCGGGUGAGCGAGAUGGAGAGGCUGACCCACUGGCGGUCGGUGCACAUUAGCGUUGCUUUGGAGAGUCUGCACAGAGCAUCAAGGAGUGUGGGUAACCUGCUCUCAACUCCUUGUGGAGUGUAGUCCUCAGAGAGCCAACAGCAGGUUCAGCUCUGAGCCUGACCCUGGGAGACAUAACAAACUAACCCAUUAUCCCCCAUUAUCUUUUCCGAGCAGCUUCAUUUGUCAAACCACGCUGCUGUUGGGAGAGGCGUGAUGGAGGACCCCAGCAUGCAUUUGUGCUGCGGUGCCUGAGCCCGGAUCUGCGCUGGAGUGAGAAAAAGGCUAGCGAUGCCUACAGACUGUGGCUCGCUCCAUAAUGGAGGCUUUGCACAUCUCUUUGAAUGCUAACUGCCUGGGAAUUAGAUAGCUGUUGUUGUUGUUGUUGUUGUUGCUGCUGCUGCUGCUGCUGCUGCUGCUGCUGCUGCUGUUUUUCCAGUCAGCCACAAAAGGAGUGACAAAGAAAAGGAAAGACCUGGCCUGAGGUCACAUCCUGUGAGAUGAGGACUGAAACCUGAAUGUGGCUCCAGAACUGUGUAACCUCCAUGUGGCGUUGUCCCCAUAGCAAAGCCCACUACUGCCAUUUUUUUACCCAACCCCCACCCCAGUCUUUAGGAGUUCUUCCUGUUUGCUCCCUGCAGUGUGUCACCUCCAUGGCCAUCUCUGGUCUUUCCAUGGAAUUGGAUAAUAAAAUAGGCUAGACAGUGCAACAGCAAUUGACCUGCAAACUUUCACGUACUUCACCUCUGAGCACACCCCAUUGGCUGAACCAAGCCGUCUUUGAAAUGACUAAAUUCAAAGUGGGUUGAAAUAUUCACAUUCUACAAGCUUCAAGGAAGAGAAGAACCGGACUAUUCAUUAAUCACCAGGAUACUUAACUCCCCAAACCAAAACCAAUCAACCAACCAACCCCGGAAAAACUGCUGAAGUUUGGACAUGGAGCUAUUCCUCCAAAUCUCAAGUGCAAAGUGGCCCAUGAUACAACGUUCAGAGGUGGGAAAGGGCAGGACAGGUUUCCAAGGGCUCUGGACUCAUUCGAGGACAGCUCUGUUGAUGGAUGACUGAACACUCUCUUUCUUAAAGGGGAUAGAAACAGGGAGAUGAAUCUUGAAUGGAAAAAUGGGUCAAGAGAGUCAUGCCUUUGAAAGGCAGAGCUGCCCUGGCUUCUUCUCUCAAACUUGAGCUGCCUCCAGUCCUCUGUGAGGGAUGCCACUCUGUUACCACACGCUCCCAGUCCUGAUGUUCUGUCUAACUACACAUGGACCCAGAAGCACUGGGACCAACUGGUGAUGGGCAAAGACCAAUGAAACCUCCUUCUCUCAAAGGUCACCAAAUUCUUACCUCUACCCUUACUCACAAGGGGGCACUGGUAAGUUUUAGGGGAGUCUUAAAGAUGAUUAAGCAUUUGUGUCUGUGGGUACAACCUGGAAUCCUGACUCCUUGGGAGGUAAAAAUAGGGGAACCCAAGUUUAAGUCCAACCUAGUAGCUUAGGAAGACUCUGUCUUUAAACACUGAACCAAAGAAAACAUGGCUGGGGUUAUGACUCAUUCAUUGGUAAGAGUGCUUGUCUACAAUGGGUAAAGAUCUGGAUUCAAUUACCAGUGUGCAUAUGCACCAAUGUGUGUACGUGGGUGCACGCACACACACACACACACACACACACACAAACACACACUCAUACACUUAAACACACAUUCAU